rnacentral:rRNA from 1 species
AGGAUCAUUUGCAAUGGGCGAAAGCCUGACAAUGCGACGCUGCGUGGAGGAUGAAGGCCUUCGGGUUGUAAACUCCUGUCAUGGGGGAACAGGCUAGGGGACCCAACACGUCCCUUAGUUGAGUGUACCCCAAGAGGAAUUGGCGGCUAACUCUGUGCCAGCAGCCGCGGUAAUACAGAGGCCAAGAGCGUUGUUCGGAUUUACUGGGCGUAAAGGGCGCGUAGGCGGCAAGGCGUGUCAAGUGUGAAAUCUCCGGGCCCAACCCGGAAAGUGCGCUUGAAACUACCAUGCUUUGAGUCCGGGAGGGGGAAUCGGAAUACAGGGUGUAGCGGUGAAAUGCGUUGAUAUCCUGUAGAACACCGGAGGCGAAGGCGGAUUCCUUGAACGGUACUGACGCUGAGGCGCGAAAGUCGGGGGAGCAAACA